rnacentral:misc_RNA from 1 species
ACAAUUCCUGUCUUGAUAGUCUCUCUCCUCAUCCUAAUCCUUGGAAGUGCAGUGAAUCUAGGCAGUGUUGUGAAUGCAUCUAUCUCAACUGCUAGUGUUAUAGUCUACUUCUGUUGCUUUGUUAUGGGAUUUGGACCGAUUCCUAACAUACUCUGUGCAGAGAUCUUCCCAACUCGCAUUCGUGGCCUUUGCAUUGCCAUAUGUGCCCUCACAUUUUGGAUUGGUGACAUAAUUGUUACCUAUACACUUCCAGUUAUGCUGAAAUCUGUUGGUCUUUCUGGUGUUUUUGGGUUGUAUGCAGUCGUG